UACGGAGGGAGCUAGCGUUGUUCGGAUAUACUGGGCGUAAAGCGCACGUAGGCGGCGCCGUAAGUCAGGGGUGAAAUCCCGGAGCUCAACUCCGGAACUGCCUUUGAAACUGCGGUGCUAGAAUCCUGGAGAGGCGAGUGGAAUUCCGAGUGUAGAGGUGAAAUUCGUAGAUAUUCGGAAGAACACCAGUGGCGAAGGCGACACACUGGCUCAUUACUGACGCUGAGGCUCGAAAGCGUGGGGAGCAAACAGG
rnacentral:rRNA from 1 species